rfam:Ovis aries breed Texel chromosome 8, whole genome shotgun sequence.
UCCAUGGUGGUCCAGUGGUUAGGACUCUCAGUUUCCACUGCUGAUGGCACAGGUUCAAUCCCUGAUUGGGGAA